CCUAUAGAAAUCCAAAAGUUUAGGUACACAUUUAGCCUUGAGGUCGUUUGAGCCAGUAGUCGUACUUUUCAAUUUGUACGCAGUUCAGUUCUUUUUCGUCUCUUCACAUAGAAGCAACGUAAAAGUAAUUUCGGAGCAAAUUCGAAAAUGUCUAACGUUAAACCGUUUUGCGUUAUUUGCAAAAGAAAAAGUGAUAAAUUGAAGUGCUUUGAAGAAAAAAUAUUGUGCAAAUGUCGUGAAACAUUGAAAAUUCGCCAGGAUAAUAAAUUAACUUAUUGUGAUGUUGUGGUUCCAAAAGAAGUCAAUGAAUUCCAGAAAUAUCACACAGAUUGUUAUAGACGUUUUACCGCCUUGCCGCAAAAGUACAGAGUGUCUGCAUCUAAACCAGAAGUUGCAUCAACUUCAACAUCACAACAACAUGCUGAAAAUCAGAGCGAUAAUACUGAUGAAGUUGCGGCAACUGAACCUACCGUACAUACUCAUUCUGACUCUUGUACAACACAAUCAGCAGCUGGUUCAGCCGAGCAACACCAUGCUGAAAAUCAAAGUGAUGACAUUGAGAUGGAAAGACUUACAGUUUCUACAGCACAAUCAGCAGCUAAUUCAACAGAGCAGUAUGUAUAUCAAUAUCGAUGAAUGUUUUCGUAUAAGUUUAU
rnacentral:lncRNA from 1 species